GGGUGAGUAACGCGUAUCCAACCUGCCCCUUUCCCCGGCACAGCCCGUAGAAAUGCGGAUUAAUGCCGGAUGCGGUCGCGUGACGGCAUCAGAGCGCGACGAAAGGUUUUUUCCGGAAAGGGAUGGGGAUGCGUCCGAUUAGCUUGACGGCGGGGUGAAGGCCCACCGUGGCGACGAUCGGUAGGGGCCCUGAGAGGGGAGCCCCCCACAUUGGGACUGAGACACGGCCCAAACUCCUACGGGAGGCAGCAGUGAGGAAUAUUGGUCAAUGGGCGGAAGCCUGAACCAGCCAAGUAGCGUGAGGGACGACGGCCCUACGGGUUGUAAACCUCUUUUGCGCGGGGACAAAGUUCGCCAUGCGUGGCGUUUUGCGGGUACCGCGCGAAUAAGGACCGGCUAAUUCCGUGCCAGCAGCCGCGGUAAUACGGAAGGUCCUGGCGUUAUCCGGAUUCAUUGGGUUUAAAGGGAGCGCAGGCCGCCUGUUAAGCGUGCCGUGAAAUGUGCCGGCUCAACCGGGGCACUGCGGCGCGAA
rnacentral:rRNA from 1 species